GGGUGGUGUUUGAACUUGUAAAAAAGUACUUCCCCUUUAAGAAAAGCGAGCCCCUGAUGAUGACGUGUUAAUAGCGCGCAAUGCAGAGAGAAACGGAAAACAGCAGUGCAUGAGAUUAAUCCAUCCGUGUGUCGAGUAUCAUCCUUGAUUUAAUUGAUGCUCUAUUUCGAGAUGAUCGAAGAUGUUUGAUCGCACGUGACUGCAUUUUGAAAUCUCUAUAAAAGAGUUCGGUAAGUCAAUUUUCAAUGUAAAGUGCAUAAGAAAUGUGAAUAACGUGUAUAAUAUCCUGUAUAUGUUAUAUUUGAUUCUGGUGACAUGGUGUUUGAAAGCACAUGAUGAAAAUGCUAACAGGGCUUUUGUGUUUGUGUAGGGUGCCACUACCGUGUUUGUGUUUGCUUUGAAAGUGUAUUGUUUCACCCUGAAAGUGUGCCCUAACAUUCGUAAAUAUUUGACAUUGAGAAAUUGACACUUUACUAAAUUAUCUGUUAAGAUAUUUUUUUGUUAAUUAUUCAUUUUGAGUGUAUAUUCUUUUCCUUGGUUAAAGCAUUACAGUGACCCCGUGUGGGGAAUUUGAGUAGUGUGGUUGAGUGAUAAAUUAUCACCUGUGACUUGUUGAACUACUCAGUUUAAAGCAUUGAAGAUCUUAAAGAACAUUUAAACAAUUGAUUGAUUUAAUAGAGGAAAAAUAAAGCAAGUUGUAAAACGUGGUUCAGUGUCAAUUGAUUUGUUUUGUUAACUGGCAACAAAAUUUGGUACCAGGAGUGGGGUCCUUUUAUAAAUCUAUAUUGCCAGUGUCAGUUAAAUGUUAGUGGCACACGGGUGAGCAAACACGGUAGUGGUGAAGAGAAGCCUCUGGCGUGGAAGGAGUUUGCGGUCACUGGACGGAGUGUUCGACGCAGAAUAGAGACGGUCGUUGGUUUGGGCCAGGACGUGACAGAGCCGACGGAGUGGUGAAGUGCGUUUCCUAUCUGAAGUAGGCACGGAUUGUCCCUUUCAGUUGCCACACUCAAGACUUUGACUUGCAACAUGUCUGACUAUUCGGAGGGGGAAGAGGAUGACAUUCGUCUGAAGUUAAGAGAACUGAGUCAAAAGCACGAUGAAGCAAUGGCCACACUUGAGUCUUUAAAAGGGGGGUGUAAUAAGACUUAUGUGUAUGUACCCCGAGAACGUCACAUCAGCCCAUUCACAGGGGACAUUGAAAAAGAUGGGAGAACAGUAGAUGAGUUUAUAGAUGAGGUUGAGCGUGCUUUAAGAGCCAGAAACAUGACACCAAAUGAUGAGUGUGAUUUUGUUAUGUCUUUGCUGCGAGGUGCUGCAUUAGAAGAGGUUCGAUUGCGAAGCAAUGUAGACACCGAUAUAUCCACGGAUAUACUUACUUACCUUAGAGAGGCUUUUACUGAUAGGCGCAGCAGUGCCCAACUCCUCCAGGACUUUUAUAGUCGUAAGCAGAAAGAGGGGGAGGAUGUUCGUGAUUUCUCUCAUGCACUAGCUCAAGCUCUCAGUCAAAUUACUAAGCGUACACCAGAGGCUGUGGGAGAUGAAAAGACGAUGUUAAGAGACCAGUUUGUAGAGGGCAUCCGAGACCAUACCCUCAGACGGGAACUUCGGCGGUAUGUAAGAGACAAGCCUGAGUCUUCUAUGGUGGAAGUGAGGGAGGAAGCUUAUCUAUGGGGCUGGGAGGAGCAGUCUGGGAGGGUUCGGACCCCUAAAAGUCGAAGUGCUACAUAUGGCUCCUACAGUGAGAGUGCACACUGUGCAGAAGUAAAAGCCACGGGCCAAAACCCAGUCACUUUAUCCAAAGUAAUGGAUGUAGUAACUCAACAGGGCAGGCAGAUCCUUGAGCUAACCCAGGCAGUUAAUAACUUGAUGACACAACAACAGGGGGCUGGGGGCCUACGGAAUAACACUCGAGCCCAGUUACGAUUCACUGAAGAUGGUAAGCCCAUAUGCCUGAAAUGUCAAGAAGCCGGGCAUAUUGCGAGAAAUUGUCCCCAGAAACGAAACGCUAAGAGACCUGCAUCCCGUUCCAUUGAGUCGGGAAAUGUGACGCCCGGGUUGCUGUGAGUCGAGCAAUCCAGGGCCAACCUGUAGACUCAAGUCAAGAAGAACUGUUGAAGCGGGCAGUGGGGACAUGUCCUCAAGUGGAUAUUAAGGUUCUUGGCGUAGAAGUAUCCUGUCUCCUGGACACAGGCAGCCAAGUGAGUACGAUAUCUGAAAGUUUCUUUCGACAACCUUUGGGGGGUGAUGAUGAAGACAUGCUUUCAACUGCUGGAUGGCUCAAGCUGACUGCAGCAAACGGGCUGGACAUCCCGUACUUAGGAUAUCUCGAGUUAGAGGUAGAGACGAUGGGGAGGAAAAUUCCAAAUUGCGGCUUCUUAGUAGUAAAGGAUCCUCCGCCCUCCUCAAAAGCUGUUUCCUGUAUUGUGGGGAUGAACAUCAUUAGUAAGUGCCGGCAAAUAGUGCAAUCUGAAUUUGAGGCUCCAUUUGAAGGGGGGUUAGAGACUGAUUGGAGGAACGCGUUCCAGCACACACAGACCUGUGAUGUUCCUAAGAGUCGUGUGGCCCGGCUAGCAGGGAGACGUAUGGUGCAUGUCCCAGCGGGCUCCAUAUCAACAGUAAUGGCAAAAGGGUGGUCGGUGAAUGUGAAAGAUGAGAGCCAGUGGCUGUUAGAGCCAGCACACUUAGCUUUGCCAGGAGGUGUGCUGGUUAUGCCGACUGUGGUAAGCUCAGCCGGGUGGUGUUUGAACUUGUAAAAAAGUACUUCCCCUUUAAGAAAAGCGAGCCCCUGAUGAUGACGUGUUAAUAGCGCGCAAUGCAGAGAGAAACGGAAAACAGCAGUGCAUGAGAUUAAUCCAUCCGUGUGUCGAGUAUCAUCCUUGAUUUAAUUGAUGCUCUAUUUCGAGAUGAUCGAAGAUGUUUGAUCGCACGUGACUGCAUUUUGAAAUCUCUAUAAAAGAGUUCGGGUGCCACUACCGUGUUUGUGUUUGCUUUGAAAGUGUAUUGUUUCACCCUGAAAGUGUGCCCUAACAUUCGUAAAUAUUUGACAUUGAGAAAUUGACACUUUACUAAAUUAUCUGUUAAGAUAUUUUUUUGUUAAUUAUUCAUUUUGAGUGUAUAUUCUUUUCCUUGGUUAAAGCAUUACAGUGACCCCGUGUGGGGAAUUUGAGUAGUGUGGUUGAGUGAUAAAUUAUCACCUGUGACUUGUUGAACUACUCAGUUUAAAGCAUUGAAGAUCUUAAAGAACAUUUAAACAAUUGAUUGAUUUAAUAGAGGAAAAAUAAAGCAAGUUGUAAAACGUGGUUCAGUGUCAAUUGAUUUGUUUUGUUAA